AUAUCUCCAAUUAUUUAAAUCCUCUGGAUCAUAGUGGGUCCAAAUUACCUAUUAGGUUUUUCUAGAACGUGCUUUGUUUAUAGAAAUAAGAAGAUGAGGUAUGAGUGCCAAAUAAGACAUCUUUCCAUCCAAGACACAAUCUAGUAGGGUAAGCAAUCAUAGAUUCAAUGCUGAAAAGUAAGCUAUAAAGGGACCACGAAUCACAAGUGCAAAACAAUCCAAACAACAAAAAAACAACGGCCUUAUUUUAUAUACUCAAGGAGAAGAAAUUUAUCCAAUAAAUAUAAGAAAUACAAUAGGUUUAGAUCCAACGUUGC
rnacentral:lncRNA from 1 species